rnacentral:pre_miRNA from 1 species
GUCAAACUUACUUUCACUGACUUAUAUCAUGGAGCAUUUGAUGAAACUGCUUUGAUAUUGUAGAUGUUGAUGCAUUUUUCUAUAAACUUGGACAAAGUUAGAGAAGUUUGACUU